rnacentral:rRNA from 1 species
UGGGGAAUAUUGCACAAUGGGCGCAAGCCUGAUGCAGCCAUGCCGCGUGUAUGAAGAAGGCCUUCGGGUUGUAAAGUACUUUCAGCGGGGAGGAAGGGAGUAAAGUUAAUACCUUUGCUCAUUGACGUUACCCGCAGAAGAAGCACCUGCUAACUCCGUGCCAGCAGCCGCGGUAAUACGGAGGGUGCAAGCGUUAAUCGGAAUUACUGGGCGUAAAGCGCACGCAGGCGGUUUGUUAAGUCAGAUGUGAAAUCCCCGGGCUCAACCUGGGAACUGCAUCUGAUACUGGCAAGCUUGAGUCUCGUAGAGGGGGGUAGAAUUCCAGGUGUAGCGGUGAAAUGCGUAGAGAUCUGGAGGAAUACCGGUGGCGAAGGCGGCCCCCUGGACGAAGACUGACGCUCAGGUGCGAAAGCGUGGGGAGCAAACAGG